GCCAGGUUAGCCAAGUGGUAAGGCGACUGCCUCGAGAUCUAAAACAAGGAAGCGGUUGUGCAUUCGCAUUCAGGGGUUCGAAUCCCUUACCUGGCG
rnacentral:tRNA from 2 species